GUUUGCCACCACAAGACGACUUGUGGCAGGGUGUUGUACUGUGAGAGACAAAACUUUCAUCCGUCUGUUGAACAGAGGAAGAGGACGCCCUUUUUGGCUAAGUUUCAUUUCCCCGGAAGAGUCCUCCCACAGCCGGUGGUCUCCAGUACAUAUAAAGUCCACCACGCAGGCUGGAAGUGUACUGGACGUAGGAGACAACAUGGAUUCCAAGAACUCCAAGAAUUGUAAUCUGGGAAAAGCUGGGUUCACCCCAGCCGGGGUACAAAAAGGAUCCCUUGCCGCAGGCAUGAUGUCCUUAGAAGCCAAAACCAACAGAGGAGGGCCGACACCAAAGGGCCCGGUGUCUAACCUUCAGUCUGCAGGUGCGGCCGGUCAUUGUGGAAAGACCAAGAAAUGAGCGAAAGAUAAAACCAUGAAAUAAAAAUUGGUCCAUUAAA